UACGGAGGAUGCGAGCGUUAUCCGGAUUUAUUGGGUUUAAAGGGUGCGUAGGCGGAUUCUCAAGUCAGCGGUCAAAACCCGGGGCUCAACCCCGGCCUGCCGUUGAAACUGGGAAUCUUGAGUGAGCGAGAAGUAAGCGGAAUGCGUGGUGUAGCGGUGAAAUGCAUAGAUAUCACGCAGAACCCCGAUUGCGAAGGCAGCUUACCGGCGCUCAACUGACGCUGAGGCACGAAAGUGCGGGGAUCAAACAGG
rnacentral:rRNA from 1 species